rnacentral:rRNA from 1 species
GAUGAACGCUGGCGGCGUGCCUAAUACAUGCAAGUCGAGCGAACUGAUUAGAAGCUUGCUUCUAUGACGUUAGCGGCGGACGGGUGAGUAACACGUGGGCAACCUGCCUGUAAGACUGGGAUAACUUCGGGAAACCGAAGCUAAUACCGGAUAGGAUCUUCUCCUUCAUGGGAGAUGAUUGAAAGAUGGUUUCGGCUAUCACUUACAGAUGGGCCCGCGGUGCAUUAGCUAGUUGGUGAGGUAACGGCUCACCAAGGCAACGAUGCAUAGCCGACCGGGGAGGGUGACCGGCCACACUGGGACUGAGACACGGCCCAGACUCCAGCGGGAGGCAGCAGUAGGGAAGCGUCCGCAAGGGACGAAAGUCUGACGGAGCAACGCCGCGUGAGUGAUGAAGGCUUUCGGGUCGUAAAACUCUGUUGUUAGGGAAGAACAAGUACGAGAGUAACUGCUCGUACCUUGACGGUACCUAACCAGAAAGCCACGGCUAACUACGUGCCAGCAGCCGCCGUAA